UAUUUAAUUAUAUAUCUUUAAAAAAAAUUUAUUGUGUUAUAAAAAUUUACACAGUACAAAAAUGGAAAGCCAUGACUAAAAAGAAAAACAAUGAACUUGAUCUUAAACUUGAAGAAAGCUGUACUUCUUUAAAAAAGAGAAAAGAAGAAAUAUGGAGAUUUUAUGAGGACAAAAAGAAAGAAAAUGAAUCUGAAGAAGAUAAAGAUUUCUUAUUCAAAGAGGAAUUUUUCAAAAAUACAGAAGCUAUUAAAAAUAGUUUUUUAGAAAUUCAUAGCAGUUAUUUACAAUUUCGUCGGCUACUUCAUAAUGAAAAGUUAAAAAUAUUCGAACUAUGUAGCUCUGUAGAUAAUACCAUGAAAGAAAAUAUCAAAUUAGAAUAUGAGUUAAGUGAAAAUGAAGCCUCUUUAGAAGAUUUACUUAAAAGGAUUGACAGAAUUGAACAAAUGCUAGCUGAAAAAAAGUAUAAAACAUUUUAGAGAAACAGAUCAAAUGCAGGUCUUUAUAAACAAUGGUUUUCAAGAGAUUAGUAUGAAGUGCCAGCAAAAAUGCCAAGUGCUACAUAUUGAAUCUGAAAUGACUGAAAAAUGGAAAAAGAAGUUAAAAUUGUUGUCAAGUGAAUCAAAUUAAAAAUGAGUCAGAAACGUCUGACCAAUUUGAAGUACUUUAUCAAUAGAAUCUGAAAUGUUUUGUGAAGAAAAUGUCAACAAUGUAAUUGAUAAUUUUGUUCAAAGAAAAGCUUGGA
rnacentral:misc_RNA from 1 species